UAGCCUAGUGGUUAAGGCUAUGGAUCGCUAAUCCAGAGACGGUGGGUUCGAUUUCCGU
rfam:Aedes albopictus isolate Foshan contig71279, whole genome shotgun sequence.